ACGUUUGUUUGUUGAUUUCGAAAUCAAACAGAAUUUGCAAGUGGUAUGGACACUGAAUUUUUUAUUUCGCUUCUUUAUUCAGCUGCAGUGAAAAAUUUCAGUGAUGAAAGUUUCUGCUCAAAGCGAAGCAAUGAUCACAGGCACACGAGGUCGUCAUGGAGUGUUUUGCCAUGGAUUGUGUUCAACGAUUCGCUACUGAACAAGUUCGAUGAUGUCAAACAAAUCUCCAACUGGUUCUUCAAAGGGCAUAUUUUGAGCGACUUUAUCGAGAUUUUAUGAGGAGACAGUUUGACCUGAUUUGGGUCGCGAUCGACGACGAGGUGGUCGAGGCUCGGCUUGAGGAACUCUAGCCCAAAAUGUCCGAUCUGUGAUCGGUGAUCGAGAUGCCCGACACCGAAGCAUCGGUUCUGUCAUAACAAAAUCACCCAAAUCUCAAAUUAAAAUAUCUGAGUCAGGCAUUCUUUGCCCAAGAUCCACGUAUAAAUAGCUGUGCGUUGAUUUGCUAUGCGCUCGAGAAGCUACCGCUGCCCCAAGAGUAGGUGCUCGACGAAUUGCGGCAUAUGCUGAGCCCGUUUCUGGACGAGGAUCUUCGGAUCCAGCAAUGGGAUAGCAUUUGAAUGAAUCAUUGUUAUUUUUAGGAAGGAAUUAUGAUGUUAUUUUAAUCGUACAGAUUUCUACUGUAAUGGUGAAAUAAAAAACACUCUAGAAUGAAUGGAAGGGCAUAUAUUAUCUCGUAGACAAUCACAGGAAAUGAACACAUUACACAUAUAAAUAAAUAGUGCCGCUAGCUUCUUACGGAAUGUUAUUAUUUUUUCGGUCUUAAAAUUGUACACUUGUUUCUGAGACUGUUGAACCAAUAUGUGGCAACAGAACGUGUGAAAAAAUCAUGCUAUUUGUGUAUGUUUAGAAACAAAAUAACUGAGCGUAUGAAUGACUACACCGCAACUGGACUAAAUUUAGUUAUUCUAAAGUGGGGCGGAAGUAUUUACGAUAGGUGCUGCAAGAAUACCGUUAUGAUCCAGGAUGCGCUAAUGCCGUGAGGGCUGCUCUUACUUUGACCAUGCUCCUGAUGUGCCACACAAUAUGAAAACGCUCGUGGUUGCCGCAGCAGCUGUGGUUUUAAAAUUUUCGGUCUGCAAACAGCUGCAUGUAGCCGGAAUAUUUGCAGCAAUGUGUACCUGUCAAUCCACUAUAUAAAUAAAUGCAUGCAUGUCUAUGUGAGAGAUGUACAGUUUUGUGUAGUGUAUUUGUAUGUGAGAGAUGUACGGUUUUGUAUAGCGCGAGGUCUCUUUCACAUUGUUAUCCGGUUUUCCGUCCAAACCCAGCGGCGUUUUUUGAAACCGGUCCGGCAGAAACCGGAUAAUGUGUAAUCGGCCUAAGGGUCGAGCAGUUUUGCGUGUGGUCGACGCGGUGCCAGAUUGGCCCAAUGUUGGCUCAUAAUUGGUGGUCAAAUACGAAGGGUAGGUCGACAAAAUCAUUGCAAAAUGGCACGAUAUCGGUACCGUUGUCGACACCAUUUGUUGGGACCAAUUUUGCACAACAAAGUAGACUGGGUUGAAUCGAUAGCUAUCACUCGCUCGGUGCUAUCGAAUUGCUCGAUUUCUAUAAUAGUAAAAUAGGUCUAACGAGCAAAAUUCUUAUCGCCUCGAUUUCUAUAAUAGGACCCUAUAACUCGAACGAAAUGCAAAUCCGGCCGAGUACAGAAUCGGGGUGUAUACCUUCGUAAUGGCACUGCUGAAGUCCCUUUUGUAAACCCACCACGAGUAAACACCGAUGAAACUGCUGAGGCGAGGUACUUCCAAAGCCGAUUUCCAUAUCGAUGUUUUCUUAAACAAAUGAAAGUAAUAGUGACAUCAUGACGCCUCAGAUUUAGAUGAACUGAAAAUUGAAAAAGAAGAUUAUCCACGCGUCUCUGGAGUUGUUUAUUGAAUAACGUUCUAUACCUGUUUCAAUGUGCACACGGAAAUAGCCUUUGAAGCC